UGAGGAACAUGACCUUCGGCGGGGGAUAGCCGGCCCAACGGCCGGGUAAUACCGCGUACGACCUUUUGGGGACAUCCCCGACUGGUGAAAGCAGCAAUGCGCCGAUGGAGUGCCUCGCGGCCUAUCAGCUAGUUGGUGGGGUAACGGCCUACCAAGGCAACGACGGGUAGCUGGUCUGAGAGGAUGGCCAGCCACAUUGGGACUGAGACACGGCCCAGACUCCUACGGGAGCAGNAGGU
rnacentral:rRNA from 1 species